AAAGCAGAAUUUCUAGUGUAGAGGUGAAAUUCGUAGAUAUUAGAAAGAAUACCAAUUGCGAAGGCAGCUUUCUGGAUCAUUACUGACGCUGAGGAACGAAAGCAUGGGUAGCGAAGAGGAUUAGAUACCCUCGUAGUCCAUGCCGUAAACGAUGUGUGUUAGACGUUGGAAAUUUAUUUUCAGUGUCGCAGCGAAAGCGUUAAACACACCGCCUGGGGAGUACGACCGCAAGGUUAAAACUCAAAUGAAUUGACGGGGACCCGCACAAGUAGUGGAGCAUGUGGUUUAAUUCGAAGAUACGCGCAGAACCUUACCAACACUUGACAUGUUCGUCGCGACUCUAAGAGAUUGGAGUUUUCGGUUCGGCCGGACGAAACACAGGUGCUGCAUGGCUGUCGUCAGCUCGUGUCGUGAGAUGUUGGGUUAAGUCCCGCAACGAGCGCAACCCUCACUUUUAGUUGCCAUCAUUUAGUUGGGCACUCUGAAAGAACUGCCAGUGAUAAGCUGGAGGAAGGUGGGGAUGACGUCAAGUCCUCAUGGCCCUUACGUGUUGGGCUACACACGUGCUACAAUGGCAUUUACAAUAGGAAGCUAGGUGGCGACAUCAAGCAAAUCCUAAAAAGAUGCCUCAGUUCGGAUUGUACUCUGCAACUCGAGUACAUGAAGCUGGAAUUACUAGUAAUCGCGGAUCAGCGCGCCGCGGUGAAUACGUUCCCGGGUCUUGUACACACCGCCCGUCACACCAUGGGAGUUGGUUCUACCUUAAGGCAAGGCAUAAAACCCUUGACUGCGGUAUAGUCAGCGACUGGGGUGAAGUCGUAACAAGGUAGCCGUANUCCCGCGGCCA
rnacentral:rRNA from 1 species